rnacentral:rRNA from 1 species
UACGUAGGGUGCAAGCAUUAAUCGGAAUUAUUGGGCGUAAAGGGCGCGUAGGCGGGGAUGUAAGUCAGAUGUGAAAUUCCAAAGCUCAACUUUGGAGCUGCAUUUGAAACUACAACUCUAAGAGGAAUGGAGGAGAAAGCGGAAUUCCACGAGUAGCGGUGAAAUGCGUAGAUAUGUGGAAGAACACCAGUGGCGAAAGCGGCUUUCUAUCUUAUACCUGACGCUGAGGCGCGAGAGCAAGGGGAGCAAACAGG